rnacentral:rRNA from 2 species
UUGACGACCAUAGAGCGUUGGAACCACCUGAUCCCAUCCCGAACUCAGUAGUGAAACGACGCAUCGCCGAUGGUAGUGUGGGGCUUCCCCAUGUGAGAGUAGGUCAUCGUCAAGC